GAGGGUGUAGCUCAAGUGGUAGAGUGCAUGCUUAGCAUGCACAGGGUCCUGGGUUCAAUUCCCAGUACCUCCU
rnacentral:tRNA from 1 species